GACAGAGGAGCCAAGCGUUGUCCGGACUGACUGGGCGUAAAGCGCACGCAGGCGGCGCUGCGCGUGGGGGUGUGAAAGCUCUUGGCUUAACUGAGAGAGGCCAUCCCAUACGGCAGUGCUCGAGCGGGUGCAGAGGUCCGCGGAAUUGCCGGUGUAGUGGUGAAAUGCGUAGAGAUCGGCAGGAACAGCCCAGGGGGAAACCAGCGGACUGGGCAUCAGCUGACGCUCAGGUGCGACAGCGUGGGGGAGCGAACCGG
rnacentral:rRNA from 1 species